rnacentral:rRNA from 1 species
UACGAAGGGGGCUAGCGUUGCUCGGAAUCACUGGGCGUAAAGCGCACGUAGGCGGGUCUUUAAGUCAGGGGUGAAAUCCUGGAGCUCAACUCCAGAACUGCCUUUGAUACUGAGGAUCUCGAGUCCGGGAGAGGUGAGUGGAACUCCGAGUGUAGAGGUGAAAUUCGUAGAUAUUCGGAAGAACACCAGUGGCGAAGGCGGCUCACUGGCCCGGUACUGACGCUGAGGUGCGAAAGCGUGGGGAGCAACAGGAUAGAA